rnacentral:rRNA from 1 species
AUGGACGUAAGUGCCAACUUUGCUGGAUCGGAUGCGGCGAUAGCUGCGUGUGCGCGGCCAUGGAGAAGCAGUCUUUGUACGGCGCCUCCGAGAGAGGCCAGCUGUGGUCGAAAGAGCAGUUCAGAAAUUCUGAGAAUAGGCGAAGUGGAGCCUAAAGGCCAUGACACAAGGUGGACAGAUGUGGUCGUGCCAGAAGAGCCAGAUGCACUGCGAGUUACAUUCAUACCAGGUGUGACGAGCAGGGCGGGUGGUGCACCGGAAAUCCAAGGCGUGCCAGGACACGCAUCGGGAGACGCGUACAAUGGCAUGUACGACGUGAGCCUAGACACUCCGGACACUAGGCACGCUGCAUCAGGCGAGCGAGGGGUAUCAUCCAGUUCAUGCAUGGAGCUGGCUGAUGGAAGUGCCGAAGUAUGUACGACCACAUGCCGCAGCAGCAACGGCUCACGCACUGCACGGCCUUGUGAUGCUUUGCAUGCGCUAGAAGAAGCGAGUGCACCACGACGUGGUGGCCUAACAUAUGGAGACGUAGAACAACGCCCAUAUCAUGGGGAAGAAAUCGACAGUUUAUCUACGUCCAUGCACAUGCAAGAAAUAAGCAGCGGCUUGUGUACUGCAGGUUAUUUAGGGAGCAGUUUGGAAGGGCCCAAAUCGCCGGAAGCAGGAGCUGUGGAAAGUUCAGAAUCAAGAGUGUCUUCUACGGUAGCACGAGAACGACAUGUGUUGGACAUCUCUUUAGAGGAAGCGCUUCAAAUUAAUUCGGUGAAGAUGAAAAGUAAAGGGCAACGAUGUUUGCACAUCGAGGAACCGGAAAAUUUUGAAGACGCAAUUAUGGAAGAGUGUUGGCGUCGUGCUAAGGAUGAAGAGAUGGGUUUGAUCCAAGACAAUAAAGUAUGGGAGCUUGUGGAUCUUCCCAACAGACAUAAUGCCAAAGAGCUCAAGUGGGAGUUUACGGUCAAGAAAGAUGUUGAAGGGUGCUUGAAGCACAAAGCGAGGCUUGUGGCCAAAGGGUACGUGCAAGAGAAAGGUGUGGACUUUGAAGAAGUGUUUGUUCCCAUUGCAAAGAUGGAGUCGGUGAGAUUACUCAUCGCUCUCGCGGCUCAGGAAUCAUGGAAAGUACAUCACAUGGAUGUAAACUCCAAGUUUUUGAAUGGCGAGAUAGAAGGAGAUGUGUAUGUGAAUCAACCACCGGGUUUCAUCAAAGAGGGAGAAGAACACAAGGUAGUGAAGUUACACAAAAUCUUGGAUGGGCUAUGGCAAGGACCUCGGGAGUGGAACAUCAAAGUUGAUCGGACGUUGAUUUCUCUUGGAUUUGAGAAAGCCCCACUAGAGCAUGAAAUGUACAAGAGAGGUGAAGGAAGGGAUCGUCUACUAGUUGGCAUUUACGUCGACGACUUAUUAAUUACUGGAGCAGAUGAAGAGGUGAUUGCAAAGUUUAAGCUACAGAUGAAAGAGCUUUUCAAGAUGGAUGAUCUCGGUCUUUUGAGCUACUACCCCAGGAUAGAGGUACAUCAAAAACCGGAGGGAGUCACACUAUGCCAGGAGGCAUACGUAAGGAAGAUACUUGAAAGCCGUGGCAUGAAAUAUUGCAAUCCAAUUGACGCUCCAAUGGAACCUCGUCUUGAGCUGAGCAAGAAGAGCAAAGUAUCCACAGUUGAUGCAAUAGAGUAUAUUGCAGCUACCACUGCGGUGUGCCAAAGUGUGUGGCUAAGGAGGCUACACGGUGAUCUCAUGGAUCGAGAUCCGAAACAAGUGGUGCUCAAUGUUGAUAGUGAGUCUACAACUUUUCUACGUGAGGAUCCAGUGGGGCGUGAUAAGAGCAAGCACAUUGAUACGAUGUACCACUACAUAAAGGACUACGUGGAAGAAGGUAAGAUGGAGGUCAACUACGUUUGCACGGACGAUCAAAUGGCGGACAUCCUAACCAAGACUUUGGAUCGAGAGAAGUUCUUGGAGAUGACAAGAAGGAUCGGCGUCGGAGCUGUAAUGUAA